GAUGAACGCUAGCGGCAGGCUUAAUACAUGCAAGUCGAGGGGCAGCAUGGUGUAGCAAUACACUGAUGGCGACCGGCAAACGGGUGCGGAACACGUACAGAACCUUCCUUCGAGCGGGGAAUAGCCCAGAGAAAUUUGGAUUAAUACCCCAUAGUAUAUUGAAAAGGCAUCUUUUUAAUAUUAAAGAUUUAUCACUUGAAGAUGGCUGUGCGGCUGAUUAGGUAGUUGGCGGGGUAACGGCCCACCAAGCCUGCGAUCAGUAACUGGUGUGGGAGAACGACCAGUCACACGGGCACUGAGACACGGGCCCGACUCCUACGGGAGGCAGCAGUAAGGAAUAUUGGUCAAUGGACGAAAGUCUGAACCAGCCAUGCCGCGUGGAGGAUGAAGGUCCUCUGGAUUGUAAACUUCUUUUAUAUGGGACGAAAAAAGGCUUUUCUAAGUCGUCUGACGGUACCAUAUGAAUAAGCACCGGCUAACUCCGUGCCAGCAGCCGCCGUAAUAC
rnacentral:rRNA from 1 species